rnacentral:rRNA from 1 species
GACGAACGCUGGCGGCGUGCUUAACACAUGCAAGUCGAACGGUGAAGCUCCAGCUUGCUGGAGUGGAUCAGUGGCGAACGGGUGAGUAACACGUGAGCAACCUGCCCCUGACUCUGGAAUAAGCGCUGGAAACGGCUUCUAAUACUGGAUACGAGAAGGGUCCGCAUGGGCACUUUCUGGAAAGUUUUUCGGUUGGGGAUGGGCUCGCGGCCUAUCAGCUUGUUGGUGAGGUAAUGGCUCACCAAGGCGACGACGGGUAGCCGGCCUGAGAGGGCGACCGGCCACACUGGGACUGAGACACGGCCCAGACUCCUACGGGAGGCAGCAGUGGGGAAUAUUGCACAAUGGGCGAAAGCCUGAUGCAGCGACGCCGCGUGAGGGAUGACGGCCUUCGGGUUGUAAACCUCUUUCAGCAGGGAAGAAGCGAAAGUGACGGUACCUGCAGAAGAAGCACCGGCUAACUACGUG